UGAAUAUAAUAUGUGCUAUAUACAAGAUGAACACUACAAGGAAAUCUGCUCUCACAAUUGUAUUUUUAUUGGCUUUCUUCAUCCUUACAUCAGAUAUGUGCAUGAAAUCGGAAGCUUGUAAAAUUGAUGGAGAAUGUCAACCUGCAUGUCCACCUGGAAGACAUGGAUGUUGUAUAAGUGGGCGGUGUUGGUGUUUUGUUGAGCCACCAUCUUCUACUCUUAAUAUUCCUGGUGUAACACCUCAAAUUGCAAAUUGUUUUUAGUUUAAUAUUUUACAUUGAUCUAAGAGUUAAAAUAUAUAAUUUUCGUGGAUAGUUGCAAAAGGGAUGUUAGUGUGAUCUUAAUAAUAAUAUCUCAAAUUUCAAGUUCAAUACUUGAAUAUUGUGAACAAUUGUAUGGAUAAAAAUAAUAUAUCAAAAUAACAAUUUUAAUAAGAAAAGACAAUAUUUUUGUUAUUAAAA